GGCAGGUUGAUGGUCCCACCAAUUCUGUUCUUGAGUGCCCCAGGGCUGUCUUGUCAGUUUCUGAAGUACUCAAAGCUGCGUCAUCAGUUUCUGAGAGGCUGAUCGCUGCUUUUACCCUUGUGGAGGCUAAGACAACCCCUUCAGCUCUUGAGGCACUUAAAAUCACCAUUUCUGGGUGUGAGGUGCUCCAAGCCAACUAUAUGGCCCACGAGGAGUCUUUGGACUUCUCUGCGGACCCUGGGGUGCUCGACGCCGCCUCAUCCCCAGUCCUGGAGGGACUCGACACCGCCUCACCCCCAGUCCUGGAGGCUCCACUCUGUGAAUUUUUCAGUUCUCACUGGCUAUACAUUACAUUAAAUAUUUAGAUCCGGAUAUUGAGCUCUGUGGUAAGUUGAUGCCGCAGUGUGGAGUGCAGUGGUUAAAUGGUGAGGUGAAUCCUUGGGUCCCUGGUAUUUUAAGAAUGAAUGUGAUAGCAGACUCUAUGGAGAGUUCUUUGGCCAACACAGCUCCACCUUGUUUAAUUUGCCAGAAGGUGCUGGGGCUCAAGAGUCUGUCUUGCAGGCAUUGAAAAAUGCCUUCAGGCUAGUGUAAAGGCCCCUCAAGUUGUCACUGGUUAGGUGAGGGUUUGGGGCAGGAAGGCUUGUCACGUACCUGGUGUUGUGAUGAAGAUUGUUGCAGUCACCUGCUCAGAGAAAUACUCCCACAGCACUGUGUUGUUUGAGCCGCUGAAAUUUGGCUCACCAACUGAGCUCCUUGCUUCUCUUACUGUGAUCUGGGUGAUUUGGGGCACAGCUUACAUCCCAAUAAUUCGUGUCAGUUCAACUGAUGUCCUGCUCCAUCCCUGUACCAUUGUUGGCACUUUGGAUGAGGUUCAUGUUGCUAUUUUACCUGCAGGAGUUAGAAAGGUGUCAUCAGAUGUGGUAACAGCAGCAUCUCACUCUGCUGUGUCUCAUGCUGUGCUAGACCAGGUAGAAGCCACGGACCUGUCAUCAUUGCCUGUAAAUGGGCAGUGUCAGGUGAAGUCUCUGCUUAGGAAAUACACAUCCGUCUUUCCUGGCCUCAGUGGAGAUUUGGGUUGCACUAAUUUAAUAGCUCAAGAAAUCCCUCUCUUAGAUAAUGUCCCAGUUAGGCAAUGCUACAGGCAUAUUCCUCCAUCAGAGUAUGAGGUAGUAAAAGAGCAUAUUGCUCUACUCCUGGAGACACAGGUGAUCCACGAGAACAGCAGCCCAUAUGCCUCCCCUAUUAUAUUAGUCAGGAAAAAGGAUGGCAGUCUACGCAUGUGUGUAGACUAUAGACAACUAAACAGUAAGACGAGGAAGGACACUUUCCCUCUUCCUUGCAUAGAGGAAUCCUUGGAUGCGCUUACAGGUACUUGUUAGUUUUGCACCAUGGACCUGGCUAGUGGGUACAACCAGAUUCCAGUUGCUGAGGCAGACCGACCUGAAAUUCCAUUCUGCAUGCCCUUUUGGCUGUUCAAGUGGAAUUGCACUCCCUUUGGACUUUAUAAUGCCCCCAGUACUUUUCAGAGGUUAAUACAGCAGAUAUUUAGGAACUAGCAAUGCCAGUCUUUGCUUCUCUACCUUGAUGACAUUGUGGUCUUUUCCUCCACAAUAGAGCAGCAUCUGGAGAGGUUGGAGGCGGUGUUGAGGUGACAUCAGCAGGAGGGUUUCUAAGCAAAGCUGACCAAAUGAAGCAUUUUCUAGUUGGAGGUUCAUUACCUGGGCCAUGUGAUUUCUCUUUAUAAACUGGUAGCCAUUCUGGAAGGCUCCAAAUUGAAGAGAGGUGAAUGGGCUGCCACUGAAUCCUGGACAGAGGAGUGCCAUCACAGCUUUGAGGCCCUGAAAAAUAACCUCACCAUUGCACCGGUGCUGGCUUAUGUUGACUUUUCCUUGCUGUUGUUGGAGCUCAAUCCCAAUCUACCGGCAAAAUAGAGAUAGCUCCUGCACGUUCGUUGAAUGAAGCAAUAGGAGAAGGUAUUUAGGUCUUACUAUAAAUGUUUAUUUAGCAGAAGAUUGAAUAUAACAGAACAAAAUUCUGGGUCCAGAGUUCUUUCCCUAACAGCAACAGAGACACUGUCAGUUCAUGAAGUCUGACUACACCUAGUUUCACCCUGACCCAGACUUAUACACUACUACAACAUCAUGCAAGCUCUUUUGGUGUCCUCUCCCUCUGAUUGGCUGCUUCUCUCAUCCUGUGUCUGCUCGUGCACAGCUCAUGACUGCGCUCCUUGUUCUCCUUCUCACCUCAGGGUGGGGGCAACCCUUCCCCUGAACCGCUGAGCGGGUCCUGGUUGUGUAGUCUUCAACGUGAGAUACUGCCCUUAUUGAUCUCUGAAGCACAGAUGUUCACCCAGGCCCAGACACCCAGUGCUUUUCCACUACAGCAUAUUACUCUAAGUUACAGCGACUGAUAUAUGUUUGUGAACUAUCCUAAACUUCUACAACGGGUUAAUUAAUAAAAGUUAAGUAAGGCACAAUAAUCCAACAACUAAAACAGCUAAGAUGCAAACGCUGUGUUUACCAGUGAAGAAGUAAACACACAGCGAGAGAAUUCUCAAGUCCAUUCCAGGAAGGUUCUAAAAUGGUGUAAUCAAUGGCUAGAAUCUCAUUUGUUCUGGAAGCUAGCAAGUGGCCCAUGAAACUAUGAGCACCUGGCUGAGUAUCCUUGGCAACCUGGCACCUGUCACAUGCCUGAAUCCACUGUUCCACCUCUGAGGACAUAUCUGGCCAGUAACACCAAGCCCAUAGUAGCUCCAGUGUCCUUUCUACACCUUGAUUACCAUGCAACUGGUGAACCUGGUUCAGCAUCUCCUCUUUUAGAACAGCAGGCAGCAACAAUUGCAGCACAGCUCCAUCCAGGUGAAGGAUCUGGCAGGACAGGAUACCAGUCUUCUCAACCAGCCAGUCGCAGUAAUGCCAAUGCAGGCUGCGACAUCUGCUUCCGCUUCUCAUGGUUGGAACACCGCUUCUGUCUCCAAAACACCAAGCUUCGCCGUUGCCUGACUGGCUGCUGCGUAGCUGAGAAUAAAGGAGCAGUAAUAAUAAUGGUGAAACUACAACUCCUGCCUCAUGGUAUAACAGACCUGUGUCUGUGUGCCUCUGAAGUCGCUGCCAGAGGUGGAACAAUUCUUUGGGUGAAAUUCAUAAGGUGGCAUUGCCGGUCAUUGCUGAGCUAUUGAGCGAGUUUACACUCGUUCUGGAUCCAAUCUCCACCAUAUUUUUAUUUAACCCCUUGCUACUGCCACAUUCAGUAUUUCUGAAACAUAUUUGUCAAUUUGGGUAAUGUUUGAUAAGUCAUUUUGAGUCAUGUUUGAGUCAUCAUGUAUGAAUCAUUUCAGAUAAUGUUUGAGCCAUUUUAGUUUAUGUUUGAGUCAUUUUUGAUCAUGUACAUGUCAUCUUAAACUGUCUCUGGUGUUUCUGUGGAUGAUUCACAGUAACUCUGGCUCUGAGGGGGGAUGUUUAAUGUCUUACUGUUGUAUGGUUUCAGUGAAGUGACCCCUUGAGAAUACAUACUGUAACAAAGACGAACAAUUCUUGACUGUUGCACCCCUCCAUUUGGAGUGGUACAUUCCACCCCGUCUAAGUUGGUAUGCUCCAGCCCUGGUGCAGUUGAGAAGACGGUGUUCAUCUCGUUAGCUUCUCGUAGCUCUGUGUACAUGCUGUUGUGUGCGUCAAUUGAAAGAAUACCACACACACAUACGGCAUUCUGUACACCUAGUUGGACUUUGUCAAUAAAGUCUCUGAAGCGGAACACGUGGACAGUCUGUGAUUUGAUCGAUCACACCAGUGGUGGUUGGUGAAUUCCGAACCAUAAGAAUUGGAAAGGAGCCGUUGCGCUAUACUUUCUUUUACAUACAGUGGAAACUGAGUAUCUGAGUCAAAUCCAGGGGCCUGUUUCACAAAGCAGGUUCAUUGAAAACUCUGAGUUUCUUAACCCUGAAAUGAGGGAAACUCAGAGUUUUCCGUUUUACGAAGCGAGGUAACUCUAACCAGAGACAGAGGGGUAACUCUAGCCUGUUUCACAAAGAGGGGUAACUUCAACUCUCGGUCAGUUACCGCAGUAACAGACUCUAUGACUCUAACCUGGUCGGCAGCAGGUUUAUCUGAGAAAACCUCGAGUUUCUCUCUGUCUCCGCCCUCUUUCAGCCACACACGCUGUUUCAUUUCCUCAUUCAUUCAGUCAGUAAGCGAGCGAGUUUUGGCGUAGAACAGCUUUUAUUAACGAUCCAGUGGAUAAAGGAGCAGCAUUACUGCACAGAUAAUUAAAUAUUCGUCGGUAGAUUGUUAUCAGACCGCGCAUAAAUGUUCUCGCAUUUCCGGGCAAUUAUCGGUUUGAGCUAGCCUAGCCGCGCUAGACAACCCACGGCAACGAAUUUAAUUCUCUGCCAGGGUGGGUCUAGUUACCCUCCAUAAGGCUCGAGGCUGGAUUCUCCUAAAACUGGCCGGACCAAUCACCAUGAAGUGUAGAGUCAGAAGGCGGGCGUAACGAAGUGACGACGGGGCGCGACGAUUCUGACAGAAACAACCGGCGCACAAUAAACAGUUAUCUUUGGACUCGGCUUUGGCCACAGCCCUUAAAGAUUUGAAGCUAAAAUUCAACUUGAAAGAUAAACAAAGGACGGCACUGAAGUGUUUCAUUGAGAAGAAAGACGUAUUUGGACUUAUGCCGACGGGAUAUGGCAAAUCCUUAAUAUACCAGUUGGCUCCGCUGGUUGGGAACCUAAUGGGACUUAGCCACAAUCCGCCGGUGCUCUCGGAACUACGUCAGUCUAUUCGUUGCGCUGAUUGGUUGUAUACCUACCCAAUUGCUGCAGAGGGAUUUGAUAGACAACCUUUUAGCCCACCUCCCUCCCUGUCGAGCUUCCCUAGACCCUUGUGCCGUCAGAAACAUGGGUGUAGCAUGGCUAGGCUAGGUUUGAGCGGUACCGUUUCUUAAUCGUUUCAAGUCCAUAAUCUACAUAAACAACCUAAUCCGUCCUUACAUUUACAUUACCAACCAGUCAUGCUCUCACAUCCAGCAGAUAUUGUGUGUUGCGCUGCGGUUCUUUGCAAAUGAAAGUUUUUAUUAUAAUAAUAAUGUCGGAGAUGCAGAGUAAGGCAACUGUAUGGAGGACAGUCAGAAAAGUUUUCCUGGCCCUGAAACGGCUUUAACUCAUCAUUGUGGUUUUCCUGGACAUAAACCUGUCAGAGCAUCAAGGAGGAUCCACAGGAUUACAGGUGAAUGAUGUAGAGAUCUGUUAAAUUCAUUUUAAAUCAUAUUCUGUUAAUGACAUUGUGCUGCAGCCUCAGACUGGGAUUAGUCAUUUUAAUUUCUUUUAGGAUUUCCCAGUGUGAUUGGCUGCAUAGAUGCACACACAUCCCCAUCACAGCUCCCUCACAUCAUGAACAGGAAGUCCAUUCACAGCAUAAAUGUGCAGAUCAUAUGUGAUGCUGCAUACAUCAUUUCUAAUGUGGAGGCCACGUGGUCUGGGUCUGUUCAUGACUCCAGGAUUUAUGGAGAGUCUAACCUGAGCAACAGACUGCAGCGUGGUCAGCAGCAUAAAGAUUUUCACAAUAGAAUUCUCUUGUCUCCCUCCUUUAAUAUGCUCUGAUGUAUCCACUAUACAUUACAGGAGAGUUUGAUGGCCUUCUGCUGGGUGACAGGGGUUACCAUGACAACCCAGGCUGAUGACCUCAUACCCUGACCCUGAACCAGGCCCCCAACAGAACUUCAACCGGACUCACUGCAGGACCAGAGCCCGGGUGGAGAUGACCAUAGGCCUGCUGAAAGCCCGUUUCCAGAGCCUACGUCUCCUCAGGGUGACCCCUGAGAGGGCCUGUGAUAUUACUGUGGCAUGUGUUGUUCUUCAUAAUAUUACCACUAUUAGAGGAGAGCAACACCCUGCCCUACAAACUGAAGACCCAGAUGAUGAGCCCAUCCACCUGCAGCUAUCCAGGACAGCAGAGCAGUCAGAGACACCGUAUGCAAGAAUCACUUUAGAGUUUAAGUCUCCAUCAUCACCACCACAGCAAAUAAAGACAUGAUACACAUUUCA